CGGUCUGGGGUGCGGGCAGGGCGGCGGGCAAACUCCUGGCCCGUAAGCCGAUCAGCAUCCCCGGGAGCAGAUUGGGGCUCGGGCUUAGCGCGCUGACAUCAGGGCGCAUCUGACAAUGCGAUUUGCUCGGGCGGCGCGGCACACAGCGGGGCUGCUGGCGGCGGUGCGGAGAGGGGCUGCCGGCACGGAGCGGGGGGCACUCCGCGUGUGGGAGCUGCAGCGGGCGCGGGGCCCGCGAGCGGGGCAACUGCGGCUUCUUAGAGAUGUGCCAAGCACGUAUUUCUAACGGAAGGCACCUAGGCAUUAGACUGGGAGGAGUGACGCGUGCACAAACUGAGUUUCUGCAUUGCCGUAGUUGUUCUGUAACUCUUUUUCAAAUGCUAUGGAUUGGCACAUGGGUCCAGGGAGGGAAGACCUACCAGUCAACCCAGUGGGAUACUCCGUUUCUUCACUCAGCUCUUGUGAGGCCACACCUAGAGUACUGUGCACGACUUUGGGCCCCUCACAACAAGAAAUACACUGAGGCUUCGGAGUGUGUCCAGAGAAGGGCAAUGAAGCUGGUCUGGAGCACAAGGAAUGGCUGAGAGAGAUGGGAUUGUUUAGUCUGGAGGAGGGUCAGGGGAGACCUCAUCACUCACUACAGCUCUCUGAAGGGAGGCUAUGGCCAGGUGGGGGUCAGCCUUUUCUUCCAUUCAUUCCAGAAUGACAGGGAAUGGCUUUAAGUUGCAGCAGUUCAGGUUGGAUAUGAGGAAAAAUUUCUUCUCCGGAAGCGUGGUGAGAUGUUGGAACAAGGUGCCCACGGAGGUGGUGGAGUCACUGUUCCUGGAGGUUUUCAAGACGUAGAUGUCACACUGAGAGAUGUGGGUUAGUGGGCAUGGUGGUAGUGGAUUGACAGUUGGACUGCAUGGUCUUACUGGUCUUUUCCGGCCUUCUAUGAUCCUGUGAUUGUUUCAACAGCACUUUGAGGUGAACCUCACGUACGUGAGAGGCUUCAGCAGUUAGUUGUCUGGGGUCCACGUCUGCAGUGAAGGAAACGAGCAUUCUGCAGUGAGUUGAGGCAGAGUGUGAGACGAUUUUUGAAUUAAAAGAAAGCGUCGAUUUUAGAGUCACACAGAAGCAUGAGUAACAGGGUCUGGGCAGUGGAUGCUCACAGCUUUGCAAGAGUACCCCAUACAAAACCAGACCUCAGCGUUGCCACCAUGCCAGGGGGCUUUUGCCAAUGCCAAGCUGCAGGGGGGAGUGCGGCGUCUAGCAGACGGAUAUCUGUAAUCAGAAUUAGCAACAGAUAGUGCCCUGAUUGGCUGCCUCUGCAAAGAGGCUAACCCGGGAAGAAAUGGGAUUAAACUGCUCCCUCACCUCCAGGCAUCCCGGGGAUCACUGCUUCAUGUUUGAAGUAGUGCUCGUACUGAUGCUGCCCAUCUCCAGACAAGUUUUCAUGUAAAGAAAGGCUCCCUGGCACCGUCGCUCCUAUCUCUCUGCUUCCAAAUCUCAUGCUUUGGACUUGGUGUAAAUUACAGCAUGACAGCACUGUUAAGUUUCAGGGCUCCAUUCAGAGAACUUUCUGUUUCCCGCUCAGCUGGUGUGGCCAUCUGUCCAGCCAGCACAACUCUAUCUCUUAUAGCACCACUUGUACUUUGGAAGAACUUCAGCUUUCCUUAAAAUCCUGAUGCUGACAGGGAGCAUUUGCACUGCUGUCAGGCAGAACUUACCGUAGGAGCUCAGUGCCCAGAAAGGCUCCUGCCUGUGGUAACUCUGAGCAGCAGAAAAAGUAGAAGAGUGAAUUCUAACAGAACAGGAACAAAUAUUUUCUUUAAGGUGUCAGAUUAAUACAGAGCAUGCACUAUGCUUCACUUUUCAUUUUUCACUUUUACAACUGCUGCUGAGGCUGUUGGUUAGCCUCUGUGCAACGCGACAAUGAGCAACAAGACACCACAGAAGGGUGCAGCAUACUGCAUGCAGACCCUUCCUUGGCCACCCAAGACGAUGCUGCAGAUCUUGGUCCUGCCAGCACGAUGCUGAUCUGCUUGAGCACAGCCAUAUAGGUAAAACAGAUUACGCUCAGUUUCUAAAUGCCUUCAGUGGCAUGGCAAACAGGGUUUCUUGUCAUUUGUGCUUCAGUGUGCAACUGAAGAGAGAACAACGUGAAGAAAGGCUACAGAAUAAGUCUGCAAAAUGCUUUCAGUUGAACAGAAAGAAACUGUUUACAUGGCUUCUGUAAGAGGACAGCCUCAAACCUUUUUUCUAGAAUAGAUACCAGUUAAUGUCACUGGAGUUAAGUGUUGGUAUUUAGAAAUUUUGCAAUAAAAACAAAGAAAUAAAGAUUGCCAUCUUAAAGCAAAUAGCCUUAUAUUGUAUCUAUUUAUCACCAUCUCAUCAAAAUUUACUGCUGGAAAUUAACAAGGCAGGAAAUUAAAAUAUCCAGAGCAGAUCCUACCUGUCUUCAUGCAGACAAAACUUCCUUUGAAAAAAAUACAAGUUUUUGGAAUGACGAUAGCACUGAGCCCCCACAGUUUGCCUCGUUAAGGUUUACAAGCCAUUUCCUUUACAAACAGUUCUGAGGCUGAGAUUUAAUGAGGUUUAUGUCUAAUAGUAAAAUUAGAAUGAAGAUUCAGUGAGUGUUGAGUGUCCCUCCCACACUCAAUGAUUUAACCUAGGGAAAAAUUUCACGUACUGAAGAGAUUGCCAGUGUUGUUAAAAAGAAAAUCUGGUCAGGACAAAAGAGUAGGUUUCUAGAAGGAAAAGUAAAUAAAUCCAAUUACUUGCUUGGAUUGUUUAGCUAUUUGGAACUUCGGAUAGACGGGAAUGCUGAUUAUGUCUUAUUUUUACCUGCAGGAUGCCUGUGUACCCUUUUUGAAGUUCUGGGGGUGUUUCCCUCUUCCUCAGAUGAGCUCUUUGCAAAAAUCCUGCAAACAAGAGAAGAUGAGGCUGGUGAGAUACUCAAGGUAAUGUAAUGGAGGGAUAUAAGCGUCAUAAUCCAAAGCUCCACUGCAGGAAGCCACGUACUUAAGUCUUUUUGGACAAUUUCCUCAGAACUGUGAAAAACUACUGUUGCAGCAUGCUCCUGAUUUUCCACAUAUCUGUGGGUGCUUUCAGCCUUUCUAGCACUAAGUUUUGGCUCUGGGAUGUUCAGGAUAUGGCUUUACAGUUUGGAAGAGGUUCAGGUGGUAUUUAACUUCAAGCCAUGGGUACCAAGUGCUAGCCAAUUACCACAGACAUGUGCCAGUCUCCCCCUGCUGUAGUCCUGCGUCAGUAAACUGUAAGCAAUUUUGCCUAAUACAAACUGGGAGUCGGUCCCUGCUAUCUAAUGCAAUCCACUAGCGGAAAAGCACUGUCAGAAAAACAGAAACAGAAAUAUUUUUUCCAAGUAAAGAAAUUAAAGACAAAGUCUGAAAGUUUCGCUGCCAAAUGUAUUCGUUUCGAGUGUGUUUGUCUCAUUGAACACUCCUGUGAGAAUUUGGAGCACUUUAGAAUAGAGCUUGCACCAUGGCAUGCUUCAGCACAGAGCCUGAGUUCCUGUUGUAAAGGUGAAUAUCGUUCUCAUUUUAUAGGCGCUGAAAUUGAAUUAGAGAGUAUUUAGAUGCAGCAGAGCAAUGCAUAAUGUGACUCUAAGCAUACAAAUGUCUUAUUUUGGAACUACUCAAAUGCUUUAAACAAGUCAUGGUUUAAAUGGCUUGUCCAAAACCAUACAGCCAGGAAGAUGAGGGAGAGGGUCCGGCUCCUUACUGAGAUCUUUAAAGAAAGUAUCCUAAAUAUAAAUAGCGCAUCUCCAUCGAGGCUACAGGUGCUCAUAUUGAAGCUGUUUCUCUUUUUGGAAUGUAAUGAAUGCUGGCCAGCAAAUAUUGUAAAAGGCACUUUGUAACAUUGAAGUCAACACAGUAAUUAUAUUCAAUAUCCUGUGUUUUUGUCAGGCUUUCUUCUAGACAACUGAAUAUAAACUAGAGCACUGAUAAGCAAAGUAUUCUCCAGGAAGGAUACAAGACUACUUUAUUGCUUCACAUAACUUUUUUUUCAGUUUGCACUUACAUGGUAUCAAAGUAAUAUCACAUUGAAAACGUGACUGUGUGUGCAAGGAGUCAUGCUUCAGAGGAGGAGUUCUUUUCUCUUUCCUGUCUCUUCCAGAGAUAACUGGUCUUUCUGGCAUUAACUGGUGGUUUCACCGGAGCACGCAGCAUUGUGAUUAACCAGGGGCUUCAACUGAAAGGCAUGCAUGCAUUUUUGCAAUUUAAUGAUAAAGAUAUGUGUGCUUUGAAAACAUAUUAGAAACUUGUAGAAUGACUGUGGGGCUAUUAUUAUUUUCAUAUUGUGCCCUGCUAGCUUUCAUCGCCUCUAACAGGAUCAUACUGUUUCUCAUCUUUGCAGAAAUGUGAUGUUCUUGAAGGAGAUUUCUUUUUCCUGGAAACAUUUAAGUUGUCAUGUUGCCAGGUUAAAAUAAAGAGACUCUUGUCUCAUCCAAAAGUUUCCUUCCUUCUUGGUGCUUUUGUAAUGCAGUUUCCACAAAUUGCAAACAUCAUGGGACUUGUCCCAAGAGAUGCUCAAGGAAAAACUGAAUGUUAUACAUGUAGCAUACCCCCUUACAAACCAUACCUCCCAUUUGAUCAUCAUUUAUGCAGUUCAAAAUGUCUUACUCUGUUGUACCUCCUUCCUCAGCACCUUUUGGCAAGAAAAUACCCUUCCUUUUAUUUUCUAUGGAAGAAAUCAUAGACUCAUAGAAUGGCCUGGGUUGAAAAGGACCACAAAGAUCAUGUAGUUUCACCCCCCCUGCUAUGUGCAGGGUCUCCAACCACCAGAUCAGGCUGCCCAGAGCCACAUCCAGCCUGGCCUUGAAUGCCUCCAGGGAUGGGGCAUCCACACCUCCUUGGGUAACCUGUUCCACUGCGUCACCACCCUCUGAGUGAAAAACUUCCUCCUAAUAUCCAACCUAAACCUCUUUGUGGUGCAUGGUUCGAUUGAUUGUUGUCUUGUACAGCUGUCUUCUGUAUGGGUAUAGUCUAUGAAAAUGAGGAGCUGUCACUGUUAGAAAUAUAUUAUGGAUCUUUUUUGCCCUCUGUACUGAGCUAGUUGGAAAGUAAUACCACACUGAGAGUACAAUAUCUUCUUUCUGUGUUGUUCUCGUAAAAUACAUUCUCUUUACAGAUCCAAAAAAGUGUGCUUCUGAUUCAGUAAAGGAUGUAUAAGAAUCGCAUGGUUUUAUUUUCUCUUGAUGCAUUCUGUGAAUUUAGUGUGACUUCCUUUUUAUUGCUUCUUGAAUAUCCAGCAACAAGAAAGUCUUCAGCUUUCUCUGUAAGAAGGCAGCAUUGAGGGAUGAAAUUUUCACAGUCAAACUACUUCACAAACA
ensembl:lncRNA